GUUUAUACCCUGCUGGGGAGAUAUUAUGAUUACAAUGGUACUUUCCCAGAAAGUAGUUUCCCCAGGACAAGGCUUAUCCAUUGCCUUCAGGAGGUAUUAAAUCCUGAUAUUUCCCCCAAAUGUAGGGAACUGACUGCAUAAUAUUUGUAGC
rnacentral:snRNA from 1 species